rnacentral:rRNA from 1 species
ACGCUCGACACCUACGGGGGGCAGCAGUGAGGAAUAUUGGUCAAUGGGCGCUAGCCUGAACCAGCCAAGUAGCGUGAAGGAUGAAGGCUCUAUGGGUCGUAAACUUCUUUUAUAUAAGAAUAAAGUGCAGUAUGUAUACUGUUUUGCAUGUAUUAUAUGAAUAAGGAUCGGCUAACUCCGUGCCCGCAGACCGCGGUAAUCUGAGCGGGCUGGCAAGGC